rnacentral:rRNA from 1 species
UACGUAGGGGGCAAGCGUUGUCCGGAUUUAUUGGGCGUAAAGAGCGUGUAGGCGGCCAGGCAGGUCCGCUGUGAAAACUCGAGGCUCAACCUCGAGAGGUCGGUGGAAACCGUCUGGCUAGAGUCCGGAAGAGGAGAGUGGAAUUCCCGGUGUAGCGGUGAAAUGCGCAGAUAUCGGGAAGAACACCCGUGGCGAAGGCGGCUCUCUGGGACGGUACUGACGCUGAGACGCGAAAGCGUGGGUAGCAAACAGG